AUUGAACGCUGGCGGCAUGCUUUACACAUGCAAGUCGAACGGCAGCGCGGGCUUCGGCCUGGCGGCGAGUGGCGAACGGGUGAGUAAUGCAUCGGAACGUGCCCAGUAGUGGGGGAUAGCCCGGCGAAAGCCGGAUUAAUACCGCAUACGACCUGAGGGUGAAAGCGGGGGACCGAAAGGCCUCGCGCUAUUGGAGCGGCCGAUGUCGGAUUAGCUAGUUGGUGGGGUAAAGGCUUACCAAGGCGACGAUCCGUAGCUGGUCUGAGAGGACGACCAGCCACACUGGGACUGAGACACGGCCCAGACUCCUACGGGAGGCAGCAGUGGGGAAUUUUGGACAAUGGGGGCAACCCUGAUCCAGCCAUGCCGCGUGCGGGAAGAAGGCCUGCGGGUUGUAAACCGCUUUUGUUCGGGAAGAAAUCCUCUGGGCUAAUACCCCGGGGGGAGGACGGUACCGGAAGAAUAAACACCGGCUAACUACGU
rnacentral:rRNA from 1 species